GAUGAACGCUAGCGGCAGGCUUAACACAUGCAAGUCGAGAGGUAGAGGCUUUCGGGCCUUGAGACCGGCGCACGGGUGCGUAACGCGUAUGCAAUCUGCCUUGUACUGGGGGAUAGCCCAGAGAAAUUUGGAUUAAUACCCCAUAGUAUUUUCGGUUGGCAUCAACUGAUUAUUAAAGUUUUUUGGUACAAGAUGAGCAUGCGUCCCAUUAGCUAGUUGGUAUGGUAACGGCAUACCAAGGCUACGAUGGGUAGGGGUCCUGAGAGGGAGAUCCCCCACACUGGUACUGAGACACGGACCAGACUCCUACGGGAGGCAGCAGUGAGGAAUAUUGGUCAAUGGUCGCAAGACUGAACCAGCCAUGCCGCGUGCAGGAUGAAGCAUCUAUGGUGUGUAAACUGCUUUUGUACGGGAAGAAACACUCCUACGUGUAGGGGCUUGACGGUACCGUAAGAAUAAGGAUCGGCUAACUCCGUGCCAGCCGCCGCUGUAAUAC
rnacentral:rRNA from 1 species